rnacentral:rRNA from 1 species
UGAGUAGAGCGGCGGACGGGUGAGUAACGCGUAGGAAUCUACCUAGUAGAUGGGGAUAGCCCGGGGAAACUCGGAUUAAUACCGUAUACCUCCUUCGGGAGAAAGAAGGCCUCUCUUUGAUGCUUUCGCUAUUAGAUGAGCCUGCGUAAGAUUAGCUUGUUGGUGAGGUAAAGGCUCACCAAGGCGACGAUCUUUAGCUGGUCUGAGAGGACGAUCAGCCACAUUGGGACUGAGACACGGCCCAGACUCCUACGGGAGGCAGCAGUGGGGAAUAUUGGACAAUGGGCGCAAGCCUGAUCCAGCCAUACCGCGUGUGUGAAGAAGGCCUUCGGGUUGUAAAGCACUUUAAGCAGGGAGAAAAAGUUAUAAGUUAAUACCUUAUAGCCGUGAUGUUACCUGCAGUAUAAGCACCGGCUAAUUCCGUGCCAGCAGCCGCGGUAAUACGGAAGGUGCAAGCGUUAAUCGGAAUUACUGGGCGUAAAGCGCGCGUAGGUGGUUUGUUAAGUUGGAUGUGAAAGCCCUGGGCUCAACCUAGGAACUGCAUCCAAAACUAACUCACUAGAGUACGAUAGAGGGAGGUAGAAUUCAUAGUGUAGCGGUGGAAUGCGUAGAUAUUAUGAAGAAUACCAGUGGCGAAGGCGGCCUCCUGGAUCUGUACUGACACUGAGGUGCGAAAGCGUGGGUAGCGAACAGGAUUAGAUACCCUGGUAG